CCUAGCUGUGUUGGCUUUCUAACCCGCACCACUUAUCGUGGUGGGAGACAGUGUCAGGCGGGCAGUUUGACUGGGGCGGUCGCCUCCUAAAAGGUAACGGAGGCGCUCAAAGGGUCCCUCAGAAUGGUUGGAAAUCAUUCAUAGAGUGUAAAGGCAUAAGGGAGCUUGACUGCGAGACCUACAAGUCGAGCAGGGUCGAAAGACGGACUUAGUGAUCCGGUG
rnacentral:rRNA from 1 species